AACAGUCCUCCAGCCUCUCCUCAGAAAUACGCUCCAGUUUGAUCGUGUAUUCUGACCAGUUGUGUAGACGGUCUGGAAACGAGAGAUAAGACCGUUAUCUUAUAGUGCAGCCAUGCAAACAGCCCGUCACACAAACCUGCUGUCCUGAGGCCAGAGAGGAAGUGGACUUGGUGAGGAGAGGACUGGGACCAAACCAGUUGGUGGAUAGUGGGAGUAGCUGUCAGACUGGCUGUCUUUCUUUCUGUUUCUGUCUGUUUAGCCGAGUCUGCCCAGAGGUCAUUAAUCCCGUGUGCAGUACCCGCCUAUAUGCCGCAAUCCCAAGACCGACCAGAAUACCAACGCACAGCGCGACCCUGCCUGACAACACACUGACCAACGUCCCUGACCGCAGAGUAGUUUUGGCUGAUCUUGAAAAGUUCUUUCCCGGUCACAGUGCUCAGCUCCUCAGACUUCAGACCACUGUUCUGAUCCACCACAAAAUCUUCCACAUGCGUCACACAAAUGAUCACGUACAAAAGAACACAACCAUACUGACGGAGAAAGCAUCCAGACUCAACUGCUUAUAUGGCUAGCUACCGG